rnacentral:rRNA from 1 species
AUUGAACGCUGGCGGCAGGCCUAACACAUGCAAGUCGAACGGUAACAGGAAGAAGCUUGCUUCUUUGCUGACGAGUGGCGGACGGGAGAGUCAUGUCUGGGAAACUGCUUGAUGGAGGGGGAUAACUACUGGAAACGGUAGCUAAUACCGCAUAACGUCUCAAGACCAAAGAGGGGGAGCUUCGGGCCUCUUGCCAUUGGAUGUUCCCAGACGGGAUUAGCUAGUAGGUGGGGUAACGGCUUACCUAGGCGACGAUCCCUAGCUGGUCUGAGAGGAUGACCAGCCACACUGGAACUGAGACACGGUCCAGACUCCUACGGGAGGCAGCAGUGGGGAAUAUUGCACAAUGGGCGCAAGCCUGAUGCAGCCAUGCCGCGUGUAUGAAGAAGGCCUUCGGGUUGUAAAGUACUUUCAGCGGGGAGGAAGGGAGUAAAGUUAAUACCUUCGCUCAUUGACGUUACCCGCAGAAGAAGCACCGGCUAACUCCGUG